GACAGAGGGUGCAAACGUUGCUCGGAAUUACUGGGCGUAAAGGGAGCGUAGGCGGGUCGUCAAGUUGGGGGUGAAAGCCCAGGGCUCAACCUUGGAAUUGCCUUCAAAACUGACGAUCUAGAGUAUGGAAGAGGUAAGUGGAACUCCGAGUGUAGAGGUGAAAUUCGUAGAUAUUCGGAAGAACACCAGUGGCGAAGGCGACUUACUGGUCCAUGACUGACGCUGAGGCUCGAAAGCGUGGGGAGCAAACAGG
rnacentral:rRNA from 1 species